rnacentral:lncRNA from 1 species
CCGGCCGGCAUUCUUUGCAGACAGCUCUGGGAUGUCUAGGUGGGCUGGUACAGAGAAAAGAAUAUGAGCUUUAGAGACAGUCAGACAAACCUGGGCUCAAGCCCUUCUGCUGCCAUUUGUGAUGUACUUACUUAAUCUGACUCUGAGUUUGUUUUCAUUCUCUUCUGUAAAAUGGAAAUAAUCAUAUAGUCUCGGGAGGAUCAUUGUGAGGAUCAAGUAAGACAAUGUGUGGUGAGUCUCCAGCAUAGUGCCUCACAAUCGCCUCUCACCAGGUAUUAUUGAUUUGCCAACCGGCCUGAUUUUCCCGGCAUCCUGAGAAACCGGCCUUCUAAUCCUGCAGACAUGAGUCAGACAAUAGCCGUGCUGCAGAGUUCUGGAGGUCAGAGUGUCUGAAAAGAGUCUCACGGGACUAAAACCAAGGUGUUGGCAGCAUUGGUUCCUUCUGGAGACUCCAGCGGAGAAGCCGUUCCCUGCCUCUUCCAGCUUCCGGAGGCUGUCUGCAUUCCCUGGCUUGGAUGCAUCACUUCAACCUCUGCUUCUGUGGUCACAUCACCUUCUUCCACUGCUCAUUCUGAUCUCCUACCUCCUCGUAUAAGGGUCCUUGUGAUUACACCAGGCCCACCUGGUGGUGGGUCAUCCCAGCUAAUCCAGGAUAAUCUCCCCACCUCAAGAUUCUUGACGUAAUCUCACUUGAACAGUCCCUUUUGCCAUACAAGGCAACAGUCACGGGUUCCAGAGCUGAGGACGUGGACAUCUUUGGGGGGUCAUUUUUCAGCCUUCCACAGAAGGCAAUUGUAUUCCCAUACCAUGCUCACUGUUUUCUUUAUGCCAUCUCUAAUGCUCACAACAUCCUGUGACAUAAGUGUGAUAUUCAAUAUAAGUGUUAUAUUCAGUUUGCAGAUGAGAAAUCUGAGGCUCAGAGAUGCUAAAUAAUUAACAUGUGUCACACAGUCUCUAAGGAGUAGAGACAGAAUUCAAAGCCAGAUCUGCCCAACUAAAGCUCAUUCUCCUUUAACAACUAUCAGUAUCCCCCUUUUACAGAUCAUAACCAUCUAUCAAUGAAAACAGCCCCAUACAGGUUGGGGAGGCACCAGUGACUUCAUGAAUUCUUCCUCCAUUGCCACAAUUAUUACAAUUAAUCCAGAAAUCUGGGCCAGUAGGAAUCAGCCACUUUUAUUUUAUGAGCAAAAGUGUUCCUAAAAUGCUGAGAAUGUAAACACAACUAUAGAAUAUGGUGAAACUCAGGACAGCACAUCCCCUACGAAGUGGAAGAAAGGAGGCCUUCGCCAUGUCUCUCUGUGGGGGACAUGUCGAUGGAGUCGGGAACGACUUCUCUCAGUGUGCUGAGGAUUAACCCUGAGCUAACAUUCAUGCCCAUCUUCCUCAACCUUAUAUGUGGGACACCUACCACAGCAUGGCUUGACAAGCGGUGCACAGGUCCACACCUGGGACCCGAACCAGCAAACCCUGGGCUGUCGAAGCAGAAUAUGCUAACUUAACCACUGUGCCACCAGGCUGGUCACAAGGUUAACAUUCUUAAUGUGUGCAAAGACUUCUUAUAAAUCCACACAGGAAUAAAGACGAACAACGCCACACAAAAAUAGGAGAAAUAAAGAAAUAAACCGUUCACAAAAAAAAGAAAUAUAAAGUGCAAAAAAUGGCCUGCAGGGAGCAGUUACUCUUAAUGAAGGGGACCAGCAAUUCAAAGUCCCUCCAUUGUUUUAUAACAAGUGGUCCCUUGCAUGGAAAGGAAGCGCCUAGAAAGGGCAGAUGGGGUUGGAAAGUUCCUAACAGAACUGCAGACUUGCCCGGGUCGAGUGGAAGAACUCGUGAAACCUGCACGCCAACUUCAGGGAUCUGAAUAACAAUUGGCUUUGCUGCUGCCGUUCAGCUUGCAAACACAUUUAAAAGCUUUCUUGCAUGAUUUGUCAAUGGAUUUACUUAAACAAUUUACAUCCUGACUCUGAGAAUAGGUCUGUGCUUUUGAGCAAUACUGACACCCAG